rnacentral:rRNA from 1 species
UACAGAGGUCUCAAGCGUUGUUCGGAUUCAUUGGGCGUAAAGGGUGCGUAGGCGGCGUGGCAAGUCUGAUGUGAAAUCCCCGGGGCUUAACCUCGGAACUGCAUUGGAUACUGCCAUGCUAGAGUACUGGAGAGGAGACUGGAAUUUACGGUGUAGCAGUGAAAUGCGUAGAUAUCGUAAGGAAGACCAGUGGCGAAGGCGGCGUCACUGGCCCGAUACUGACGCUGAGGUGACGAAAGCGUGGGGGAGCAAACAGG